rnacentral:lncRNA from 1 species
GAUAUGGGAGGCAGAAGAUAAGCUUUUCACUUUUGCCUUUAGUUCUUUAUUAAAAACUAUUUUUAAAUUAUGGUAAGCAGUUUUUAAUAGGCCGAUAAUGUGCUUUUUGAGUGAUAAAUGACUUUGAAGGUUUUCGUACCAGUGAUUGAAAAUCAGUAAUUAAAAGUUUAAAGAGCUUUCAUUCGGAAGACUUAAUUUUAUUAAGCAUUUUCAGGUGGAAGUAUAAGUUACGUAUACUUCCGUGAUUGUAAAUUGUGUAUUUAUGGACUUAGGGCUCUGCUCCCACUGGACAUGUACUUUGUGUCAUUUGAAGGUUUUUUUAUGUGCAUAAUUUGUUAAUUAUGUCCAUAAAAAUGUUGAGCUUGUUUUAUAAAUGAAGGAUAAUUCACAUAUAGUUUACAAACGGGCCAUUAGAUGUGUGUAGCUUGUCACGUACAUUCUAAUUGAUAUUAACAUGCACGGAUACGAGAUUUUUUUUAAAAAAGUCUAGAUAGUAGAACUUUGAAGUGAGUGAUGUACAGUGAAAUUCUUGCACUCUGUAUAGAACAGGUAUAGCAGAUUAAAUAUCAAAACCUCACUUUCAAAGUAUUGAAAACAAUUUAAAUAAUUGGCUUUUUAAUUACUUGGUUCUGUGUACAUGGGUUACAAAUUUAACCAUGAGUUGUUGU